CCUACGGGUGGCAGCAGUGGGGAAUAUUGCACAAUGGGCGCAAGCCUGAUGCAGCGACGCCGCGUGGGGGAUGACGGCCUUCGGGUUGUAAACCUCUUUCAGUAGGGACGAAGCGUAGGUGACGGUACCUACAGAAGAAGCACCGGCCAACUACGUGCCAGCAGCCGCGGUAAUACGUAGGGUGCGAGCGUUGUCCGGAAUUACUGGGCGUAAAGAGCUCGUAGGUGGUUUGUCGCGUUGUUCGUGAAAUCUCACGGCUUAACUGUGAGCGUGCGGGCGAUACGGGCAGACUGGAGUACUGCAGGGGAGACUGGAAUUCCUGGUGUAGCGGUGGAAUGCGCAGAUAUCAGGAGGAACACCGGUGGCGAAGGCGGGUCUCUGGGCAGUAACUGACGCUGAGGAGCGAAAGCGUGGGGAGCGAACAGGAUUAGAUACCCGGG
rnacentral:rRNA from 1 species